rnacentral:sRNA from 1 species
GCCUGGAGUAGUGGCGCAUGCCUGUAAUCCUAGUAGCUCAGGAGGCUGAGACAGGAGGAUCAAGAGUUCAGUGUCAGCCUUAGCAAAAAUGAGGUGCUAAGCAAUUAAUUAAGACCCUGUCUCUA